AGCCCCCUCCUCAAGAAAUAUGUGAUGCACGCACGUUGUAGGGCUUAUACCCUUGAUAUCGGCCAAGGUCCAUCCUAUGGCAGAUUUGAACUCCUUCAAGACUCGAACUAGUUUCUCUUCUUCUUGUGCCGUGAGGAAUGAGGAUAUGAUGGUAGGUAGGGUCUCAUUUUCUCCCAAGAAAAUGUACUUCAAAUGGCUUGGUAAUGGUUUGAGUUC
rnacentral:lncRNA from 1 species